AUGAAGAUUUAUUAAUGAAAGUCCUCUGC
rnacentral:piRNA from 1 species